UACGAAGGGGGCUAGCGUUGUUCGGAAUCACUGGGCGUAAAGGGCGCGUAGGCGGCCAUGCAAGUCGGGGGUGAAAGCCUGGGGCUCAACCACAGAAUGGCAUUCGAUACUGUUUGGCUUGAGACCGGAAGAGGUCAGUGGAACUGCGAGUGUAGAGGUGAAAUUCGUAGAUAUUCGCAAGAACACCAGUGGCGAAGGCGGCUGACUGGUCCGGUUCUAACGCUGAGGCGCGAAAGCGUGGGGAGCAAACAGG
rnacentral:misc_RNA from 1 species